ensembl:lncRNA
GCAAGAGUGUUGCAGUAAUCACUGCCGUGUUAUUAAAUUACGAAAUUGAUUUUAUACAACAACUUCAAUAAAUAAUAAGCGAUUUAGGUUACAUUUUAGACACAAUAUCGCGAUUACUUUGUCCUGUAAAUAAUUAUUAUACAUUGGACGGUUUUUUUCGGUGAACGACAUCAAAAUUACCGCGAGGGUGACAGGAGACGAGACGACUCUUGUAUGGCUCUCGCGAUUUUUCGAUCGGUCUGCGCAGCGCCCCGAACCACUGUUUCGAAACAAAUGAUUCGCAAAGCUUCCGAAGUGUUUUCCAGAAAACCUCCGGAAAUACAUAACAUCCCAAUGGAUGUGAUCAUACGACCCAUUCCGCCUGUUCCAGAGGAGCAGAAGUUCCAAAGCAGGUCUCUUUCAAAUUUCUAUGCAAAACCACUUCAUAAGCAGCCACAAGAUGACCACAGGAGUGUGCUGGUCUGGAGACUAUUGGACUUGGUUUCACAUGUGCUCUGAACCACAAGCUUGAGUCUCUGAGCACAGUCAGAUUCAUAAAGAAUCACGUUUCCAGAUCUGCUUUGCAUGUUAAAAGCUAUACAUCUUCAUCAUCACAUUAUAAUAAUCACAGCAAACAAUGUGCUUUGUGUAUUUUUAGAUAAGCUAAAUGCACAGGAUUUUUAUAAAUUAUUAUUUGUGCCAGUGGAGGGGCAUGAGAAAUGUAGGACAUUCUUUUCAGCUCAUCCAUAACGGCAGGACAUGUCGGGGGUCAUGUGUCAUGAGAACUGGCCAGGGUUCUUCUCCUCAGCAGGCUGGAGUGAAGGAAAAGAAUGAAUACAGCAGCUCAGUUUUAUUACACUGCUAUAUAUAGAUGGAUUGAGGCUCACAGUUAGACUGAUAUAGAGGAAAUAGAGUGAAACAUGCUCUUACAGACAUUUCUGCUCUCAGCCGUUGAGGAGAUCAGAGGACAAGCACCUCAGAUUUCUUCCUUGUAAUGGCAUUUCACUUCCCUUUGACCUCUGACUUUGGCUUAAUAUCCAUAGCCAAAGGCCUCUCAUAUUCUACAAGAACGAUGACUGAAGCUUUUGAAACCCAGCUCCUCUGACAGCUUAAAUUGCAGGUGGCUCAGAUAAUAAUAAUACAAUAAAAAUGAUGACACUUUUUUUUUUGUAUUUGUUAUAAUUUUAUCAGAACUUUAUUGGGUAUUUCUGAACUUUGCAACAGUUUGCAGAUAUGACUUCAAUAGACCAAUAAAAUCCCUUGCAAAUGCCAGCAGCUCCAAGGUUUUAAAGGGGAUUUUUAAAUUAAAAAAACAUCAUAAUUUAGAUGAAAUAGGCCAUAUUCUGUCCUGUUUUGACCGCCCUCAUCGGAAUGCUCAAUUUGAAUAGGUGUAGCAGAUUGUAGCCUUGGAAGUAAAUGCCCACUGCAAUUGUCACGAUCAUUACAUGGAGUGCCCAUGAACUUUUGUAGAGGGCACUCCAAUCAGGACUAUUCCACAUUUACCACCAGAUGUCACUCAGACUCUAGCACCUCUUAUCUGUUGCACCACACCCUAACUACAUUUCCCAUUAGUCUCUGCAUCACAAUCACCCUGCCACACCUGCACAUCAUUCCUCAGUCAAUCUCCUUGCCACACCUGCACCUCAUUUACACACACAUAUAAGCAGCACACUCACUCUCACUCACGGCAAAGUCUUGAUUUGCUGUGUUUGUCAUUUCCGAGCGGUUUCCUUGUGUUUUCCUCUCUGUACCUGACCUUUGGAUUGUUUAUACGACUCUGAUUCUCUGCUGCCUGCCCCGGACAUCUGCCUGUUCCUGUUUUCGAUUCUGGUUAUCCCUAUAAACCUGACGCUGUUGCUGAUCAUUGCCUGUCUGACCAUUCUCAUUAAAAGUUCUGCACAUGGAUCCGAACCUCUCUGUCUCAUCAUUACAGCAAUGAUUGGCUAACAGUUUUGUGUGUUUUAUAGCUUCAUGUGAUUUAUUGUUUGGUUUCUACAUAGACCUGUGUUUGCCUCUUUCGUUAUUUACAGUACAUGCAGGAAUCGGUGGGCGGGCCUAAACAGGCAGCGUUGUAGAAGCAGGCGUUGAUCGUCUUCUGUGGAGGCGGUGUUUAGCCACACUAUUAUGUUAUAAAGUGGCACAUUCAACAACCUGUCAUUUUGGUCAAAUGGCUUCAAUAUAAGCUGUUUUUAGACUAAUGAGAAAGUUCUGAGUUCUGAAACUUACAGGAUGUUUUAAAAAUACUAUGACCUUUUAUAUGUCAAAUGUUAAAGUGCAGCCAAACACUCAGGGAAAAAAGGUAUAGGCUUGUUGUAUUGCUUGGACAAACACACUUAAAAUAUUCUUCAAGGUACACAAAAGCAAGAAAGUCAUACAACGACAUAAGCGUGAGUACAUAAUAACUGAGUUUUCAUUUUUGGGUGAACUGGCCCUUUAAGAAAUGUGGUCUUACCUUGGGAUCUUCGUAGCAGUUUAGCUGGACACCAGCAGCUGCUGACUGCAGGAAUCAUGUCUUUACAGCCGCGUCCUUUGAUCGUGGAAGAAGGUAUAGGCCUGUUAUACGCGAUUACUACCUUGAAGAUCUCUGCUGGAAGAUAACAGUUUCUCUAUUGGCGAUAUAUGAGUCCCUGGGGUGCUGGCCCUGAUCUUGGCCUCCCUUUGGGACCCCUCAGGAAGUGAAGAGGGGGCCCCGGGGCUAGGCGGAACAAACCUGCCGGACUGUAAAUUUCUGGCAAAAGAAUGGUCGCGUGUGAGAAGACUUCCUGUGGCUUCAACACGGUCCGGAAGAAAGUAUCCUUAGAAGUCUCCUGACUCCUCUGAUUGAGGAGACACAAAGAAAGAGAGACAGACACACACCCAGUUUGGGAAGUGUGGGCUGCACCUGCUGCUUUUAGCGGAAAUAAAGGAAGCUACAUCUACACCUACAUCCCAAAAAUUCUUCUUCCUAACUAGGAGGAGAGAGACAAGGAAGAACAGAUGGUGGGAGAAGAAACGGAUCCAGGUACUUGAGGCAACAUUAACACAUAAGUAUGUGUUUGGAAAUCUCAUGAAUAUUUCAGCCUCACGAGCACCUGCCAUGAACCGGCGUAAUUCUACUACUCUGCUUCUGACAGGCAUGACAAAUCAUCCCUCUUGGACAAAUCCAGUCUGCCUGAGGAUCAUGAGGAUCUUCUUGUUAAGGUUAUAAAUGAUAUGUUGUAGAAAUUGUUAUAUUUAUGCACGCAUGACCAUAUAUAUAUUACUGCUUUGCACACUCUUGGCAUUCUCUUGAUGAGCUUCAAGAGGAAGUCACCUGAAAUGGUCUUCCAACAGUCUUGAAGGAGUUCCCCGAGAGAUGCUUAGCACUUGUUGGCCUUUUGCCUUCUGUCUGCGGUCCAGCUCACCCCUAAAUCAUCUCGAUUGGGUUCAGGUCCGGUGACUUUGGAGGCCAGGUCAUCUGGCGCAGCACCAUCACUCUCCUUCUUGAUCAAAUAGCCCUUGAUGCCUUCAGUGUGACAUUUUUCAUAGUCACGAAAAUAAAGAAAACUCUUUGAAUGAGAAGGUGUGUCCAAACUUUUGGUCUGUACUGUAUAUACACAUAUAAAUGUUGCUGAAAAUGUAAUUGGCUUGUAACAAACUGUGAUAUUAUAUAUUAUAAUUAUUUAUCUAAUAAUUUACAAAUUCAUUAAUUGUUUGGACUGAGGCAGAUCUGAAUGUAAUCUUGGAGUUGAUUGUAAGGAAGUCUGUUGUUUAAUCAGAAGAUUAAGUUAUAAAUGUUUUUAUAAAAAUUACAAGGUCAAAAGAAAUUUUAAAAUUAAAUACAUACGUGAAUGAAUCGUACACAAUAAGACAGUAAGUUCAAUAACAGAAAAUUAAUUAUACCAGUUACCAGUCUACAAUAAAUGUAUACCAGUCAUUUAUUAUUGAAUCACAAUCUAGGUAUGAUUUUUUUUUUUAUCUACAUUUUUUUCCAUAUCCUUAUGGCACAGUUUGUUGUUGUAGUUGUUGUUUUGUAUUGGCCCCAAGAGUUAAUUUUUAAUUUUUAUUUUUUAUUUUUUGUUAACAAAGGAUUGAAAUCAUGAAAUACAAGCAGAAUGAAUUGUUCUGAUGUAAAUUUCCCAUUGAAUUGAUUGUAUCAAAUUACUCGGGAACUUUUUUCAACAGUUUAUAUAGAACAAUUUAUAUAAUAAAACCAUUCACAUCAAUAGUUAUUUUCUAAUUGGCAAAUAUAGUGAAAUCUGCUAACAACAUGCUCAGCCUUUUAUUUCAGAGCUCUGAGCAGUUGAGCUUUCGGUUUCAUUUUCCAGAACCAGCUUGAUUCAGCGUUUACAGAUGUGCAGUUUGUACAAUUUAAAAGAAAAUAAAGAUUUUACAUCCUUGAAUAUAUGUUUGAAUACUUUAACAUCAGACACCAGAACACUGAUGUAGACUUGCGUUCUCUGUUUGAAAGUGUCUGUUAAGUGUGUGUUGGUGCUCCUGCUGUAUGGUCUUUUUUCGUAUGUCAGAGUCCAAGAGUUAUGGAGCAAUAAGACAUGAAUAGACUUCCUUUUCCUUUACAGCUUUUGGCAGGAUCCUACCAUUGACCCUUACCUGAAGGGGUCAGUCAACAUUUCCCUGAAUAGCGUCUGAUUUCACACUGUGGCUCUGUGCGCUGUAUGAAUCCCCUGCUGAUGCUGCAGUGCAGGAGGGCUUACAUGAUGAUAAAAUAAUGACAUAUACUUGCACACUCACAUUGGGAAAUUUACCAAACCAUUUCAGCAUUUUUGUGGAGUUACAUACAAAUGAAUAAUGGACUUCUCAUCCCCUCUGGAUGGAUGUACAUUAGCCUUGCAAAUACUGUGAAGCAUUAGCUGUCCUGAAAACACAUUUUCCUCUUCUCUUUCUAACACACACCUCCAUCACAUGUGGCCACAAUAUGAGUUAUUAGACACUGACCCUAUAGUCAUACAGCUGAUGUACUGCACAACAAUACAGCAUUAUAUACAAUGAUAAACUCCGUAAUGUCCACUCAUCCUUAUGUGCACUACAUCUUCAGUACGCAUGCUAUGAACAUAUUUAUGGCUUAGAAUAAUGUCCAAAU